GCGAGUGAAGCGGGAAGAGCUCAAAUUUGUAAUCUGGCACUUUCAGUGUCCGAGUUGUAAUCUCGAGAAGUGUUUUCCGCGCUGGACCGCAUACAAGUCUGUUGGAAUACAGCGUCAUAGUGGUGAGAACCCCGUAACUGAUGCGGAUGCCCAGUGCUUUGUGAUACACUUUCGAAGAGUCGAGUUGUUUGGGAAUGCAGCUCAAAAUGGGUGGUAAAUUCCAUCUAAAGCUAAAUAUUGGCGAGAGACCGAUAGCGAACAAGUACCGUGAGGGAAAGAUGAAAAGCACCUUGGAAAGGGAGUUAACAGUACGUGAAAUUGUUGGAAGGGAAACGCUUGAAGUCAGACUUGCUAUGUGGAUUUAUUCGCUUCGCAGGCCAGCAUCAGUUUCUGGGGGUGGAAAAGGGUUGGGAGAAUGUAGCAACUCCGGUUGUGUUAUAGCUCCUUUCUGGAUUCAUCUUUGGGGACUGAGGAACGCAGCGCGCUUUUUGCAAGGCUCUCGAGCUUUUCGCGCUUAGGAUGCUGGUGGAAUGGCUUUAAACGACCC
rnacentral:rRNA from 1 species